AUUGAACGCUGGCGGCAGGCCUAACACAUGCAAGUCGAACGAGUGGCGGACGGGUGAGUAAUGUCUGUGAAACUGCCCGAUGGGGGGGGAUAACUACUGGAACCGGUAGCUAAUACCGCAUACCUUCGGAUGUGCAUAGAUGGGAUUAGCUAGUAGUUGGGGUAACGGCUCACCUAGGCGACGAUCCCUAGCCGGUCUGAGCGGAUGACCACACACACUGGAACGGGGAAACGGUCCAGACUCCUACGGGAGGCAGCAGUGGGGAAUAUUGCAAAAUGGGCGCAAGCCGGAUGCAGCCAUGCCGCGUGUAUGAAGAAGGCCUUCGGGUUGUAAGGUACGUUCAGCGAGGAGGCGUUACUCGCAGAAGAAGCACCGGCUAACUCCGUGCCAGCAGCCGCGGUAAUAC
rnacentral:rRNA from 1 species